rnacentral:tRNA from 1 species
CGGGAUAUAGCGCAGCUUGGUAGCGCAUCUGCUUUGGGAGCAGAGGGUCGCAGGUUCAAAUCCUGCUAUCCCGA